rnacentral:rRNA from 1 species
CCUACGGGUGGCAGCAGUGAGGAAUAUUGGUCAAUGGCCGGGAGGCUGAACCAGCCAAGUCGCGUGAGGGAAGACGGCCCUACGGGUUGUAAACCUCUUUUGUCAGGGAGCAAGGUGCAGGUCGGGACCUGCUGUGAGAGUACCUGAAGAAAAAGCAUCGGCUAACUCCGUGCCAGCAGCCGCGGUAAUACGGAGGAUGCGAGCGUUAUCCGGAAUGAUUGGGCGUAAAGGGUGCGCAGGCGGUCCUGCAAGUCUGGAGUGAAACGCAUGAGCUCAACUCAUGCAUGGCUUUGGAAACUGGAGGACUGGAGAGCAGGAGAGGGCGGUGGAACUCCAUGUGUAGCGGUAAAAUGCGUAGAUAUAUGGAAGAACACCAGUGGCGAAGGCGGCCGCCUGGCCUGUUGCUGACGCUGAGGCACGAAAGCGUGGGGAGCAAAUAGGAUUAGAUACCCUUGUAGUC